AGAGAUUGAACAUAAGAGUUUGAUCCUGGCUCAGAUUGAACGCUGGCGGCAUGCUUUACACAUGCAAGUCGGACGGCAGCACGGGGAAGCUUGCUUCUCGGGUGGCGAGUGGCGAACGGGUGAGUAACAUAUCGGAACGUACCGGGUAGCGGGGGAUAACUGAUCGAAAGAUCAGCUAAUACCGCAUACGUCUUGAGAGGGAAAGCAGGGGACCUUCGGGCCUUGCGCUAUCCGAGCGGCCGAUAUCUGAUUAGCUGGUUGGCGGGGUAAAGGCCCACCAAGGCGACGAUCAGUAGCGGGUCUGAGAGGAUGAUCCGCCACACUGGGACUGAGACACGGCCCAGACUCCUACGGGAGGCAGCAGUGGGGAAUUUUGGACAAUGGGCGCAAGC
rnacentral:rRNA from 1 species